rnacentral:lncRNA from 1 species
GUUCACCCAAAUAAUGACUCUAAUGAUAGGAAUUCCCAGAACAAAUAAUCUCUUGCAUUUUGUGAGUUGCAUCACUUACGUUUAAGGCAAACUUACCCGCUGCUAUUCAACUGCUACAUGUGGGAAAUCUCAAGCCGUUUUUGGUUGCCUCCAUUUCUGGGUCCUGACUCCUGUAGUGGGGCCAGAUAGAUAUCAGGAGUGAGAAGAGGAGAAGGAAGAGUUGACCAGGAAUUAGUGGGCAGAGUUCAGCAUGGUUCCCAUCACUUCACGCGGAAUGCUGUCCAGAGCCCAGGCACCUGGGCGGGAGAAGCGUUGACCUUCAGACAUAAAUAAGUGCCAGCCAGUUUCACUGAUGCUGUCACUACGCAGAUAAAAAAAAUUAAACAACAGUAAUAGCAAAAACCUUGCCUCUCAGCAGAGAGAGCACUUGCUACCUCUGUACCAAGGAAAUUUCUGCGGCCAUGACCACAGCGUUCACCCAGCUGCUGCUUUUCUGGGACUUAAAUAUUGGACCUUCUUAGGAAACUUUGGCAGCCUGACAAGAGAGGCCUCUAAUGUCACUGUCUACUCAGCCUCACUGUCUGGAAGUGGAACGUGCUCACGAAGAUGAUUCACGCCAGGUGCCUGACAUCCAGACACUAAUAGGAGAGCCUUGCCCCACGCCAGCGUCCACAAAGGGCACUUCAGAAAGACAAAGGGAAAAUUGGAAAAAAGCCGCAUGUGUGAAUCGGUUUACAUUCAGCAGUAUUGCUCAUGGUUCCCCUGGACCACCAGAUGUCAGCCUAAAUUGAAGAAAAGAAAAGAAAUCGUGUAUCAUAACAUUACUGCCUCAUGUGCCAGAUGGAGUUUUAC